rnacentral:rRNA from 1 species
CAGUCGCCGCGGGAAUACGUAGGGUGCGAGCGUUAAUCGGAAUUACUGGGCGUAAAGCGUGCGCAGGCGGUUGUGUAAGACAGGUGUGAAAUCCCCGGGCUUAACCUGGGAACUGCGCUUGUGACUGCACAGCUAGAGUAUGGCAGAGGGGUGUGGAGUUCCACGUGUAGCAGUGAAAUGCGUAGAGAUGUGGAGGAACACCGAUGGCGAAGGCAGCCCCCUGGGCCAAUACUGACGCUCAUGCACGAAAGCGUGGGGAGCAAACAGGAUUAGAUACCCGUGUAGUCCCUGUCUCUUAUAC